rnacentral:rRNA from 1 species
UACGAAGGGGGCUAGCGUUGUUCGGAAUUACUGGGCGUAAAGCGCACGUAGGCGGACUCUUAAGUCGGUGGUGAAAUCCUGGAGCUCAACUCCAGAACUGCCUUCGAUACUGAGAGUCUUGAGUCCGGGGAGAGGUGAGUGGAACUGCGAGUGUAGAGGUGAAAUUCGUAGAUAUUCGCAAGAACACCAGUGGCGAAGGCGGCUCACUGGCCCGGUACUGACGCUGAGGGUGCGAAAAGCGUGGGGGGAGCAAAACAGGG